UACGAAGGGGGCAAGCGUUGUUCGGAAUUACUGGGCGUAAAGGGUCCGUAGGCGGUGCGGCAAGUCGGAAGUGAAAUCUCUGGGCUUAACCCAGAGGCUGCUCCCGAAACUGCCGUGCUAGAGGAUGAGAGAGGCGAGUGGAAUUACGGGUGUAGCGGUGAAAUGCGUAGAUAUCCGUAGGAACAUCCGAGGCGAAGGCGGCUCGCUGGAUCAUUUCUGACGCUGAGGGACGAAAGCUAGGGGAGCAAACAGG
rnacentral:rRNA from 1 species